rnacentral:SRP_RNA from 1 species
CGCUGGUCUGGAGGCUGACGUUGAGGUCCUGUCCCGCGGGGCUGGAGGUGGUACGGGCCGCAGCUGGAGAGCGUCGGCGCGUUCCUCAGUCGCGGGGACCGGGUCAGGCACGGAAGUGAGCAGCCUCACCGCGGACGACCAACGCUCGCGGGGGUGCGGGGCCGAGGAGGCCUCCAGGUUCCCCAGCG